rnacentral:rRNA from 1 species
CGGGAGGCAGCAGUGGGGAAUUUUGGACAAUGGGGGAAACCGUGAUCCAGCCAUCCCGCGUGUGCGAUGAAGGCCUUCGGGUUGUAAAGCACUUUUGUCAGGAAAGAAAUCGCCCGGGAUAAUACCUCGGGUGGAUGACGGUACCUGAAGAAUAAGCACCGGCUAACUUCGUGCCAGCAGCCGCGGUAAUACGUAGGGUGCAAGCGUUUAUCGGAAUUUCUGGGCGUAAAGCGUGCGCAGGCGGUUCGGAAAGAAAGAUGUGAAAUCCCAGGGCUUAACCUUGGAACUGCAUUUUUAACUGCCGGGCUAGAGUGUGUCAGAGGGGGGUGGAAUUCCGCGUGUAGCAGUGAAAUGCGUAGAUAUGCGGAGGAACACCGAUGGCGAAGGCAGCCCCCUGGGAUAACACUGACGCUCAUGCACGAAAGCGUGGGGAGCAAACAGGAUUAGAUACCCUGGUAGUCCACGCCCUAAACGAUGUCAACUAGCUGUUGGGGCCUUCGGGCCUUAGUAGCGCAG